UAGAUGAAUGGACAAAGCAAAUGUGGUAUGUGCAUACAAUGAAAUAUUAUACAGCCUUAAAAAAGAAGAAAAUCUUACUAUUUGCAACAACACAGGUCGUGGAGGUGGGGGCAUGCUUGACUUCCAGAUGUUGGGGAUGCCCAGCACAGCUCACCUGGGUUGACCCCAUCUGGCUAUGUGGUACAUCGGAAAACAGGAGUGCUGGGAGAAAAGAAUCAAUGGCUCUCGCUCAGGCCACUCUGAGCAGACCAGACCAUUUAAAAUGGCUGUGGAUCGUGAAGGGAGGGACUGAAUUGGGAGUGGACUGGGAACAGUAUUGCAGUCUGUGCACAGGAGUGUGGCUCCUCCUUGGAGCCAGCUGUGGGACUUGCCAUUGCUUGCUACAUUAUUAGUGGGAAUUUGGGGGUCAUUUCUGCAGUUUCCCCAGAUUCUAUAGUCAGACUGGUCCCAGGACAUCAGAGAGGUCUCAUCUGCCAACAGGAGAUCUUGGUGGUCAUGCCAGCCUUGGACAGGGCCCCCUCUCUGGUCAGAUGGGGCUGCCCUUGUGACUUGAGAGGCAGACCCAGGCUCAGGGUUUUUUCCCUUUUUUCUUUGCUGUGACCCCCCUUCCCCAGUACCUUGGGAUUCUCUUGGCUGACAACUACCUGAGCACUUCACACCUCAUUGAAAAGUCACCACAAUAAUUACCAGAUCAUUAACAGGGGAUUUGAAAAGACACUUCAAAGCAUCUCUCCCAGAAUUGCUGAGACAGGUGUAAGAGUCUAUUCAGGCAAAGAGUAACCAGUUUAAAGUGAUGUUGGGGAUUCAAAGAGUAGGUGUUAAUUAAGCUGGGCUGAGCAUCAGCGGGAUAGGUAACCUUCUAAUCCGAGCAUUGUAACAACCCAUGUAAUGGUGAGGAGGUCUGACAGUUUUAGAUGAAACUCAAAAUGUACGGACUUUAUUGCUCCUCUCACACUUUAAUGAGGAAUUUGACUGCAAUUCUAGGUCUUCAAAUGCCUAGUACUUGUUUUGGCAAGAAUAAACAUAAACAAAUCAUUCUGCACCACAGGCUUCAUAAUUAAUUUUACUAAUUAAGGUUAAUGAGGUGAUAUAACUGCAAAUCAUAUGCCUGAAUGGCUGGGGUUGGGUGGGCAGAUAAACUUUCCUUCUACCAAAAAUUCUACACGAAGGAAGGUAACAAAUGGUUGUUUCCAAUAGGCAGACUGUUUAAUUGAAAGCCGUAGAAGAAACCACUUUAGUGAAACUUUAACAUUAGUAGCUGCAUGAUGACAAACCUGAGUGUUGUUUGAAUGGAUACACAAGCCUUCCCUACCUGGAAACCUUGUUUUCAGAGAUCCU
rnacentral:lncRNA from 1 species